rnacentral:rRNA from 1 species
AACGAACGCUGGCGGCAGGCUUAACACAUGCAAGUCGAGCGACCCGCAAGGGGAGCGGCAGACGGGUGAGUAACGCGUGGGAACAUACCCUUUCCUGCGGAAUAGCUCCGGGAAACUGGAAUUAAUACCGCAUACGCCCUACGGGGGAAAGAUUUAUCGGGGAAGGAUUGGCCCGCGUUGGAUUAGCUAGUUGGUGGGGUAAAGGCCUACCAAGGCGACGAUCCAUAGCUGGUCUGAGAGGAUGAUCAGCCACAUUGGGACUGAGACACGGCCCAAACUCUUACGGGAGGCAGCAGUGGGGAAUAUUGGACAAUGGGCGCAAGCCUGAUCCAGCCAUGCCGCGUGAGUGAUGAAGGCCUUAGGGUUGUAAAGCUCUUUCACCGGAGAAGAUAAUGACGGUAUCCGGAGAAGAAGCCCCGGCUAACUUCGUGCCAGCCGCCGCGGUAA